rnacentral:rRNA from 1 species
GCAUGUAGUACGCUGAAGCUUGGUGCUUGCACCGAGCGGAUGAGUUGCGAACGGGUGAGUAACGCGUAGGUAACCUGCCUGGUAGCGGGGGAUAACUUUUGGAAACGAUAGCUAAUACCGCAUAACAGUAGAUAUUGCAUGAUAUCUGCUUGAAAGGUGCAAAUGCAUCACUACCAGAUGGACCUGCGUUGUAUUAGCUAGUUGGUGAGGUAACGGCUCACCAAGGCGACGAUACAUAGCCGACCUGAGAGGGUGAGC